GGGGUGACAGCAAGAUGUAGGUCAAGCUAAAGACUUUACCUGAAUCGCUGAGAGGAGGCGCAUGGCCGUCGUCAGUUCGUACUGUGAAGCAUCCUGCUAAGUCAGGCAACGAGCGAGACCCGUGCCCACUGUUCCCAGCAUGUCCUUCGGGAUGAUGGGUACUCUGUGGGGACCGCUGGUGCUAAACCAGAGGAAGGUGCGGGCUACGGUAGGUCAGUAUGCCCCGAAUCUCCCGGGCUACACGCGGGCUACAAUGGUUGGGACAAUGGGUCCCUACCCCGAAAGGUGAUGGUAAUCUCUUAAACCCAACCGUAGUUCGAAUCGAGGACUGUAACUCGUCCUCGUGAAGCUGGAAUCCGUAGUAAUCGCGUUUCAACAUAGCGCGGUGAAUACGUCCCUGCUCCUUGCACACACCGCCCGU
rnacentral:rRNA from 1 species